GCCUGGGUGGCUCAGUUGGUUAAGCAUCUGACUUUGGCUCAGGGCAUGAUCUCAUGGUUUGUGGGUUUGAGCCCCACCUCAGGCU
rfam:Felis catus isolate Cinnamon breed Abyssinian chromosome C2, whole genome shotgun sequence.